UAACGAAGGGUGCAAACGUUGCUCGGAAUUAUUGGGCGUAAAGCGCACGUAGGCGGCAUCGCAAGUCCCAUGUGAAAGCCCACGGCUUAACCGUGGAAGUGCAUGGGAAACUGCAGUGCUUGAGUACUUAAGAGGAUCGCGGAAUUCCCGGUGUAGAGGUGAAAUUCGUAGAUAUCGGGAAGGAACACCAGUGGCGAAGGCGGCGAUCUGGGAAGAUACGUGACGCUGAGG
rnacentral:rRNA from 1 species